UGAGGAAUAUUGGUCAAUGGACGAGAGUCUGAACCAGCCAAGUAGCGUGAAGGAUGACUGCCCUAUGGGUUGUAAACUUCUUUUAUAUGGGAAUAAAGUUUUCCACGUGUGGAAUUUUGUAUGUACCAUAUGAAUAAGGAUCGGCUAACUCCGUGCCAGCAGCCGCGGUAAUACGGAGGAUCCGAGCGUUAUCCGGAUUUAUUGGGUUUAAAGGGAGCGUAGGUGGACAGUUAAGUCAGUUGUGAAAGUUUGCGGCUCAACCGUAAAAUUGCAGUUGAUACUGGCUGUCUUGAGUACAGUAGAGGUGGGCGGAAUUCGUGGUGUAGCGGUGAAAUGCUUAGAUAUCACGAAGAACUCCGAUUGCGAAGGCGGCUCUCUGGUCUGUAACUGACGCUGAGGUUCGAAAGCGUGGGUAGCAAACAGG
rnacentral:rRNA from 1 species